rnacentral:rRNA from 1 species
UGGUGGAUGCCUUGACACUAAAUGGCGACGAAGGACGCGGCGUAACUGCGAUAAGCCUCGGGGAGGUGUGUAGCAACCUUUAAUCCGGGGAUUUCCGAAUGGGGCAACCCAAUUGUGUAAACCACAAUUACCCCGCCUAGAAAGCGUGGGCGCGAACCCGCUGAAGUGAAACAUCUCAUUAAGCGGAGGAAAACAAAAAAACAUCCCGUUUUUGACGGGAUCUAUUCCCCCAGUAGCGGCGAGCGAAAAGGGAGAUAGUCUAAACCCUGUUUUGUCUAUGACAAGACGGGGUGUUGGAAGGUAUAUACUCUGGCGCUCUCGCGGACUAGUGCCAAAUUUUGGCGCCAGUCCGCUUGUAGCGAUAAGGGGAAGUUACAAAUUCUUUUGUUAGCCGAAGUCCCUGGGAAGGGAUACCAAAGAAGGUGAAAGUCCUGUAGGCGAAAACAAAAGAACUUCCUAGUAUGUGUCCUUAAAUACCCCGACGAACGAAAGCUUCGGGGGAAGCAUCCUGAACUAUCAGGAAAGACUAAAUACAUUUAGUGAUCGAUAGCGAACUAGUACCGUGAGGGAAAGGUGAAAAGCAGGCCGGCGAGGCCGAUGAAAUAAAACCUGAAACCAUAUGUCUACAAGGAACGGAAGUCCCAUGAGGACAACCGUGUGCCUAUUGAAGAAUGAACCAACGAGUUUAUGUGCAUCGCUUGUCUAAGCUCUACGGAGUGUAGGCGAAGCGAAAGCGAGUCUUAAAAGGGCGUAUGCCUUGUGUGUAACACAAGUGACUGACGACCAACGACCCAUGACUUACGACAUUUAAUUUUUGUCGUUAGUUGUUAGUUGUAAGUUGUGAGUUACUCGCGUUAUACGCGAGGCCGCGGUGUGCAUAAGACCCGAAGCCAGAUGAGCUUACCUUGGGCAGGGUGAACCUCGCCGAAAGGCGGGAGGAGGCCCGAACCGGUUGGUUGUGCAAAACCUUCGGAUGACCCGAGGUAGGGAGUGAAAAGCUAAUCGAAUCUGGUAAUAGCUGGUUCUCUCCGAAAUAGCUUUCGGGCUAGCGUCCAGGAAAAAUAUUGGAGGGGUAGAGCCACUGGUUGAGAAGUAAAGGGCGAAAGCUCGGCUUCUCAGUCAAACUCCGAAUACUUCAAUAAAUCGCCUGGGCAGUUAGACUAUGGGGGCUAAGCUCCAUAGUCGCAAGGGAAAAAGCCCAGACCGCCGUCUAAGGUCCCUAAAUAUAUGCUAAGUGUCAAAGGUAGUGGCCUGCCAGAGACAGGUAGGAGGUUGGCUUAGAGGUAGCCAUCCUUUAAAGAGUGUGUAACAACUCACUACUAGAUGGCAGACUGCGCCGAAAAUUUACCGGGGCUAAGCAUAUUACCGAAGACGCGGGUUAUCUUGUCUGCGACAAGAUCACAGACAGUUUUGGACAAGACACGGACAGUGCGGAACUUUUUCCAAUCUGUCAGUGUUAUGUCAGCUCUGUCAGUGUUCUCGCCGCAGGCGAGAUAGCGGUAGGAGAGCAUUCCUAGCAGCGAUGAAGCCUCAGCCGCGAGGCGGGGUGGAGCGCUAGGAAGAGAAAAUGUUGGUAUGAGUAACCACAAGUCCGAUGUGAAUUUGGACCCCCGAAAAUCCAAGGUUUCCUUCGCAAUGGAAAUCAGCGAAGGGUUAGGCGGGACCUAAGGCAAUGGCGAAAGCCGCAGCUGAUGGACAGCCGGUUAAUAUUCCGGCCCCUCAGUUCUUUUCGAUGGAGUGACGAAGUUGAGUAGAGAGAGCAUCUUAAUGGUUUGGUGUUUUUGAUCGAGGACGUGUUCUCGGUAAAUCCGGAACGCUGCCUUCAAUGGCGAUUCCCAGAGUAAAAACAACUCGGCGAUUAUCAAAGAGCAGUCUCUCAAGCCGACUUCCAAGAAAAACUUCUAAGGUUAAAAGAAUUGAGCCUGUACCGUAAACCGACACUGGUGGGUGAGGCGAGAAGCCUAAGGGGAACGAGUGAGUCAUCCUCAAGGAACUCGGCAAAAAAGCGGCCGUAACUUCGGGAUAAGGCCUCCCUGAACUUCCGCAAGGAAGUGAAGGGUGCAACAAAAGUAUCUCUGGCGACUGUUUACUAAAAACACAGCUCCCUGCGAACUCGUAAGAGGAUGUAUAGGGGGUGACGCCUGACCGAUGCGAGAAGGUUAAUGCCGCCGGUCGUGGAGCGACUCGGCGCGCAGAUUAUCGCGGAUUAUAACGCAGAUAAACGCAGAUAUAAUUCAUCAGCGUAAAUCAGCGUAUUUGUCAGCGUAAAUCAGCGUGCGAAGCCGCUUCACGGCUGAGUGGUUGAAGCCCUCGUCAAUGUCAGCAAUAACUAUAAUUGUUCUAAGGUAGCGCAAUUCCUUUCCGGGUAAGUUCCGGAGCGCACGAAUGGCGUAACGACUGGAGAACUGUCUCGAGGAUGAGCUCGGUGAAAAUGCGAUUCCCGUGAAGACGCGGGGUACCUGCAGCGGGACGAAAAGACCCCAGGAGCUUUACUGUAGCUUGAUAUUGGCUUUAGGGUUUGGAUGCGUAGCGUAGUGGGCAGGCUUCGAAGCUUUGCUUUCGGGCAGAGUGGAGCCGACAAUGAAACACCCAUCUUUCAGAUUUUAAAGUCUAACCUUGACGGCAAAAACGGCAGGGAACAGUGUCUGGCGGGCAGUUUUAAUGGGGCGUUAUCCUCCUAAAAAGUAACGGAGGAGUUUAUUAAGGUCGGCUAAGGUCGGAUGGAAAUCGACCGCGUCGUGUAAAGGCACAAGCCGGCUUGACUGCAAGGCCGACAAGCCGCGCAGCUGCGAAAGCAGAACUUAGUGACCCGACGGUCCUUUAUAGAAAGGCCGGAGACAACGGAUAAAAGCUACCCCGGGGAUAACAGGCUGGUGAGGCUCGAGAGUUCCUAUCGACGGCCUCGCUCGGCACCUCGAUGUCGGCUCACCACAGCGCGGGGCUGGAGAAGGUCCCAAGCGUUUGGCUGUUCGCCAAUUAAAGUGGUACGUGAGCUGGGUUCAGACCGUC